rnacentral:rRNA from 1 species
AACGUAGGAGACAAACGUUAUCCGGAGUUACUGGGCGUAAAGAGCGUGUAGGCGGCCAGGUAGGUCGGUUGUGAAAACUGGAGGCUCAACCUUCAGAGGUCGACCGAAACCAUCUGGCUAGAGUCCGGGAGAGGAGAGUGGAAUUCCUGGUGUAGCGGUGAAAUGCGCAGAUAUCAGGAAGAACACCCGUGGCGAAAGCGGCUCUCUGGAACGGUACUGACGCUGAGACGCGAAAGCGUGGGGAGCGAACAGG